CACGUAGGGCGCAAGCGUUGUCCGGAAUUAUUGGGCGUAAAGAGCUCGUAGGCGGUCUGUUACGUCUGCUGUGAAAACCCAGGGCUUAACCCCGGGCCUGCAGUGGGUACGGGCAGACUAGAGUGCGGUAGGGGAGACUGGAAUUCCUGGUGUAGCGGUGAAAUGCGCAGAUAUCAGGAGGAACACCGGUGGCGAAGGCGGGUCUCUGGGCCGUAACUGACGCUGAGGAGCGAAAGCAUGGGGAGCGAACAGG
rnacentral:rRNA from 1 species